AUGUACUUCUAGUACGCUUGGCUUUGCGCCAUGUCUGUAAACUGCUGUUUAACUGGUGGGCCCAAGCGAAAUAUAUGCUCCUGGACUCACAAAUAUUGCUGGAGCACCAUAAGAUCAGCUAUGUUUCUGUCCUACACUAUACCUCAGCUAACGAUUGCUCCUGAUUAAUGCUUAAUUACUCACACAGGAUCAGCCCUGACUUAGGCCAAUACUAAACAUUUUGCAGCACUAAACCAGCUAAAGUAAUCAAGCUGCUGCUUAGCAGAUAGGCCCCAAGCGACACAUAUACCACGACACCCACAAACACUGCUGGAAUACAAUACUGUAUACCUCACAUAAAGGCGUAAACCAACAUGUGACCCAGCUACUUAAACGCUUUUGCCCAUACCUGUGUUGAACCGUACACUGCUUAAGGUUGUCUUUCCUGUUCAUUAAAUUACAAAAACGUGCUGAGUUAACUUAUG